rnacentral:rRNA from 1 species
GUCAGUGCUAAUAGCGAUGAGGAUCCACCUGUUCCCAUUCCGAACACAGUAGUUAAGCUCAUCAGUGUCGAAAAUACUUGGCGGGUGACUGCCCGGGAAAAUAGAGCAGUGCUGACA